rnacentral:rRNA from 1 species
AGAACGAACGCUGGCGGCGUGGAUUAGGCAUGCAAGUCGCACGUGAAAGGGGAGCUUGCUCCCUGAGUAAAGUGGCGAACGGGUGAGUAACGCGUGAGAAACCUGCCUUGAAGAGGGGAAUAACACUCCCAACGGGGUGCUAAUACCGCAUGUGCUCGAUGGAUCGCAUGGUUCGUCGAGGAAAGGUGGCCUCUGCUCGCAAGCUAUCGCUUCAAGAGGGUCUCGCGUCCGAUUAGCUAGUUGGCGGGUAAAAGCCCACAAGGCUACGAUCGGU